rnacentral:rRNA from 1 species
AGUGAACGCUGGCGGUAGGCCUAACACAUGCAAGUCGAACGGCAGCACAGUAAGAGCUUGCUCUUACGGGUGGCGAGUGGCGGACGGGUGAGGAAUACAUCGGAAUCUACUUUUUCGUGGGGGAUAACGUAGGGAAACUUACGCUAAUACCGCAUACGACCUACGGGUGAAAGCAGGGGAUCUUCGGACCUUGCGCGAUUGAAUGAGCCGAUGUCGGAUUAGCUAGUUGGCGGGGUAAAGGCCCACCAAGGCGACGAUCCGUAGCUGGUCUGAGAGGAUGAUAGGCCACACUGGAACUGAAAAACGGUCCAGACCCCUCGGGAGGGCAGCAGGGGGGAAUAUUGGAAAAUGGGCGCAAGCCUGAUCCAGCCAUACCGCGGGGGUGAAGAAGGCCUUCGGGUGUUAAAGCCCUUUUGUUGGGAAAGAAAAGCAGCAGGUUAAACCCCCGCUGUUCUGACGGUACCCAAAGAAAAAGCACCGGCAAACUUCGU